rnacentral:lncRNA from 1 species
CAGAAGUGACAUUUGAAAAAGAUCAAGAAAAUUCUUCACAAAAAGAAGAGGAAGAGAAGUUCAAAAAAAAAUUAACACAAAGAACGAUGCAUGGAUUCCACUUGCAUGAGAAGCACCACAUAUAGCACAAGAAACACUUCUAGCUUCGCUGACCCUCUACCAAAACAUCUUGCAAUUAAGUGUGUCCAAAUUGCAUUUGGGUCAAUAAGUUCAAUAAAUCGAUUAUCAAAUCAAAAGAAGUGGAUCAUCAUGAACAAAAGAGCCUACAUAUAUAGGAUAAGAAAGGCAUUUGCGCAAAUACCUCUCCUUCCUUCUUGGCAGCACUCUUCUUCUUGCGACCAACUUCAACACCAUAGUGCUGGAGGUACCACUGCUUAAAUGGAGCCGCAUCAACCUGAACAAUAGCGCUCUUCACAAGAGUUUGUGUCCUAACCAACUCAUUGUUUGAGGCGUUGUACACCACAUCCAAUAAACGGGUCUUCCUAGUAACAGCUUCACUGCCCCAGGAGUAGUUUCCAGUGUCCAACCUCAAC